rnacentral:rRNA from 1 species
GCAGCCGCGGUAAUACGUAGGUGGCAAGCGUUGUCCGGAUUUACUGGGCGUAAAGGGAGCGUAGGCGGACUUUUAAGUGGGAUGUGAAAUACCCGGGCUUAACCUGGGUGCUGCAUUCCAAACUGGGAGUCUAGAGUGCAGGAGGGGAAAGUGGAAUUCCUAGUGUAGCGGUGAAAUGCGUAGAGAUUAGGAAGAACACCGGUGGCGAAGGCGACUUUCUGGACUGUAACUGACGCUGAGGCUCGAAAGCGUGGGGAGCGAACAGGAUUAGAUACCCC